rnacentral:rRNA from 1 species
UACGUAGGGUGCAGGCGUUAAUCGGAAUUACUGGGCGUAAAGCGUGCGUAGGUGGUUUGUUAAGUCUGUUGUGAAAGCCCCGGGCUCAACCUGGGAAUGGCAAUGGAUACUGGCAAGCUAGAGUGCGGUAGAGGGUAGUGGAAUUCCCGGUGUAGCGGUGAAAUGCGUAGAUAUCAAGCGGAACACCAGUGGCGAAGGCGAGUCCCUGGACAACUCCUGACACUGAGGCACGAAAGCUAGGGGAGCAAACAGG